rnacentral:rRNA from 1 species
AUUGAACGCUGGCGGCAGGCCUAACACAUGCAAGUCGAGCGGAUGAAGGGAGCUUGCUCCUGGAUUCAGCGGCGGACGGGUGAGUAAUGCCUAGGAAUCUGCCUGGUAGUGGGGGAUAACGUCCGGAAACGGGCGCUGAUACCGCAUACGUCCUGCGGGAGAAAGUGGGGGAUCUUCGGACCUCACGCUAUCAGAUGAGCCUAGGUCGGAUUAGCUAGUUGGUGGGGUAAAGGCCUACCAAGCCGACGAUCCGUAACUGGUCUGAGAGGAUGAUCAGUCACACUGGAACUGGAACACGGUCCAGACUCCUACGGGAGGCAGCAGUGGGGAAUGUUAGACAAUGGGCGAAAGCCUGAUCCAGCGGUGCCGCGUGUGUGAAGAAGGUCUUCGGAUUGUAAAGCACUUUAAGUUGGGAGGAAGGGCAGUAAGUUAAUACCUUGCUGUUUUGACGUUACCAACAGAAUAAGCACCGGCUAACUUCGUG